rnacentral:rRNA from 1 species
UUGGCUCAGAAGCAGCCACCAUUUAAAGAGUGCGUAAUAGCUCACUGGUCGAGAGACGCUGCGCCGAAAAUGUCCGGGGCUCAAGCACGGAACCGAAGCUAUGGCAUGAUAGCAAUAUCAUGGGUAGGGGAGCGUUCUUAUAAGGAAGAAGCAUGACCGGAAGGACAUGUGGACGAAUAAGAAGUGAGAAUGCCGGUAUGAGUAUCGAAAAGAAAGGUGAGAAUCCUUUCCACCGAAAGCCCGAGGGUUCCUGAGCAACGAUCGUCGACUCAGGGUAAGUCGGGACCUAAGCCGAGGCGAGAAGCGUAGGCGAUGGACAACAGGUUGAAAUUCCUGUACCGGAUCAAGUCGAUCGAGCGAAGGAGCGACGCAGGAGGGCACAUGAUCGCGCGGCUGGAAGAGCGCGUCCAAGUGCGUAUGUUGCAGCAGAGGAAAACCCCUGCAGCUAAAAGCAGAGACAUGAAGGGGAGUUAAAGGAAACUUUGACGAACUCAUGGAUCCCACACUGCCAAGAAAAACUUCUAGCGAGACAAGAUCCGCCCGUACCGUAAACCGACACAGGUAGGCGGGGAGAGAAUCCUAAGGUGCGCGGGAAAACCCUCGUUAAGGAACUCGGCAAAUUGCAUCCGUAACCUAGGGAGAAGGAUGGCCCCCGGUCAGUGAAGAGCAGAAACGCUCAGAGCUAAAAGGGGCGGCAGAAAAGAGGCCCAAGCAACUGUUUACCAAAAACACAGGUGCCUGCGAAAGCGAAAGCUGAAGUAUAGGUGCUGACGCCUGCCCGGUGCCGGAAGGUUAAGGAGAGGUGUGAGCGAAAGCGAAGCAUCGAACUGAAGCCCCGGUGAACGGCGGCCGUAACUAUAACGGUCCUAAGGUAGCGAAAUUCCUUGUCGGGUAAGUUCCGACCCGCAUGAAAGGCGUAAUGAUUUGGGCACUGUCUCAACGAGGGGCCCGGUGAAAUUGAAAUACCUGUGAAGAUGCAGGUUACCCGCGACUGGACAGAAAGACCCCAUGGAGCUUUACUGCAGCUUGAGAUGGAAUCUCGGAAGCAGAUGCACAGGAUAGGUGGGAGGCGCCGAAGCAUUGCCCUAGGGCGGUGCGGAGCCGAUGUUGGGAUACCACCCUUCUGUUGCUGAGAUUCUAACGCGAGGAGUAACGACCCUGCGGACCCUCUCAGGCAGGCGGUUUGACUGGGGCGGUCGCCUCCGAAAGAGUAACGGAGGCGCCCAAAGGUUCCCUCAGGCCGGACAGAAACCGGCCGAAGAGUGCAAAGGCAGAAGGGAGCUUGACUGCGAGACCAACAAGUCGAGCAGGGACGAAAGUCGGGCUUAGUGAUCCGGUGGUACUGGGUGGAAAGGCCAUCGCUCAACGGAUAAAAGCUACCCUGGGGAUAACAGGCUAAUCUCUCCCAAGAGUCCAUAUCGACGGGGAGGUUUGGCACCUCGAUGUCGGCUCAUCACAUCCUGGGGCUGGAGUAGGUCCCAAGGGUUGGGCUGUUCGCCCAUUAAAGUGGUACGCGAGCUGGGUUCAAAACGUCGUGAGACAGUUUGGUUCAUAUCCAUCGCGGGCGCAAGAAGUUUGAGAGGAGCUGCUCCUAGUACGAGAGGACCGGAGUGGACGGAUCAACGGUGUCCCAGUUGUCACGCCAGUGGCACGGCUGGAAAGCCGCAUCCGGGAAGGAUAAACGCUGAAAGCAUCUAAGCGUGAAGCCAACCUCAAGAUGAGACUUCU